AUGUAAACAAAAAACAUCAUAUGCAUGUUCGUGGGAUAUUCAAAGCCAAAACCACUACAUUCACACAAAAAAAUAUCAUAAUUAGUUCACCCACUAUAUUUCUUUCUGUUGGCUAUUAACGAAAGGUGGAGGUGACAACAGAGACAAGAAGGGUGGAAUUGGCGGCAAAGAUGGUGACUGUGGCAACAACGAUAACAUUGUAGGUGGUGUCUAAGCGGUGAAGUAGGUGGUGGAGUAUAUUCAGUAGCGACGGUGUAGGCAACGUCUGUGAUGGUGAGCGAUGAACAGUAUAUGGUGGUGACAUACGAUGUCAAUGGGCGGUUUUGGUCUAUGUUUUAAGUUUGUUAAACAUGAGGAUUGGACGCGUUUGUGGAAGCAUAAAGGAGUUGGAUAUGAAAGGAAUAGAAGAUCAUAGGAUUAGAAGGCUAAACAUGAACAUUGGGAGCUAUUGGGAAGGUUCAAGAGGCUUGGAACACAAGAAAAAAGAGAAAAAUCAAAUGAAACAGAAACUCACCUGAGUAAGCUACGCCCACCAGAGUAGCUUACGCUAGCCACCAAAUGUAAGCAAACAUAAACUGCUGAAUGUAAGCUACACCGGCGACGUAGCUUACGUUGGGUGUCAGACGGAAACUAAUUAAACAGCCAAAAAUUAGGAUUUUG
rnacentral:lncRNA from 1 species